rnacentral:lncRNA from 1 species
AAGAACAUAUUCUAAUACAGCAUCUCGAUACUAUUUCUCUCUCUAACUUGUUGUUAUUAUUAUCAUCGUGCCUGGAAACCUGUUUCAGAGUUCUCCAAAUCUAUCGUUUUAUUUAUAUUUGAGCUAAGUAUCUUGUAGGAAAAUUGAUUAAUUCAUUAUCUUUUGAGAUCAAAUCAAGUCAUCUGUCUAGAAACCACGAACAAAUUUCACUGUAUCAUUUUUUGGAUAAACAAUGACACCUCUUUUUGUUUGGAUUGGGGGUUGACUAUGAUCAACAUAGGUAUGUUUUUCUCUCUCAUUCUCUUCCUUAAUUUUUCUGAAGUGCUAGAGGACACAAUAAAUGUUACUAUCUCGGAAUGAACUUACUGACAGGAGGAAGAAUUAGGUAUUGUACUUACUAUCCAGAUAAAUGUUGCAAAUGUAGAAUGUAGUAGCAUGGUCAUAAGAUGUUUCUGAUUGUUGUAAUGUUAUUUGGUUGAUUGGUGAUCAGGUUACUAGACUAUUGCUUGUGAAUUUUUUAUCAAGAUUGACUUUUAAACCUGCUUGGGACUUAAAAGUAGUGAAAGUAUCUGCUGCUAUAAACGAGGUUUGCAGUUUGAGGUGUGAUAUCAUGACAUUUUAGGGAAAUGAAAUAGGUAAAAUAACUUGUUCAAUCUAAUCUGAAAUCCUUUUGCUAUAAUCUCCUUUCCUCUUCAAUACCUUUAAUUUGUAGUACUUGGAGUUGUUGAAGAUAACUUGUUACAACAGCUAACAUGAUGUCUGCUGGUGCAUGUUAUUAGGAGUUGUACUUUCCACUUGUAACAGCUGGAGGCUUUUUUUGCAUAGAGGCCAGAAAUGGUUCUUGAGUUCUUUUCAUCCUUUAAGUCUAUUUCAUUUUCUCACUAAACUUUGUGGCAGCAUAAUCACGAAAGGUCCCUUCUCGAGAAAAACUGAUUCAGUAAUGCUGAUAAUGAAGUACCCAAAUCAGCUGUUUCUAGUGAUAAUGUUAGCACAAUUCAUCUAACAAUAUCCUCCAUUAAAGUGGCUUGAUGUCAUUCGGAUUAGAAAAUGUUCUAAUUUUGGCUUAAUUUGUGUUUGAAUUUGGUUUUGCAAGAAGGGAUUUUUUGUGUUAAAGGAAUUGAAAAAUUACAGCUGCUAAUACUUUUUGAAUUCUGCUGUUGUAUGUGAUGAUAAAGUUGAUAAUACUUUGAUUAGUAAACCUUGUGAAUUCAAGCCGUGUACUUGUGACGAUUUAUAUCAAUGGAAGUCGGUCAAGGACCUAAAAACUAUCAUUUUGUAAGGAGAAGUUGGGAGUGGCCCUAGUGUGAGGGAAAUUUAUACACCUUGGGAUAACCAUGGGAGAAAAAAAGCCUCAUAGGACUAAAGCAGAGUUUAUGCUUUCAGCUGUCAGUCACAGAAUUUUCUUUGUUGAAUUAUGCUAUAGGUAUUUGACUAUAAAAUACAUUAUACAAUGUUUUUCUUCUGCAAUUGGUUCUUAGUAUGUUAUGUUGUGACUUGUGCGUACAUUAUUAUGUUUAGAUAUUUAAACUUACAUUUUGUGCAUACGUUGCUCUUAUACUUAUAUUUAAGAAAUUAAGAGUUAAAAAAUUCCCAAGGCUUGCUACUCAUAGAGGAGCCAACCCUGGUGAUUUCCUGUGCCCUCACCUUCAGUCUGUUGUUUCUAAUUGUGUCCUAGCUGAUAUAUCUGUUUGCUUUGCUUGCAAUAAUCUUUCUAUAUGAUACAUUUGGGCGUCAGCUUAAUAAUUUCUGCUCACGACUGUGUUUGCUUUAAGGCAUUUCUUCUUGUCAGUCUAUAUGGAGUUUGCAAGUCCUAUGGCCCAAAUUCAGAAUAUCGUCAGCCUGAGACAAAGUUAAUGAAUUCCAUGCUAAAUGAAGGGAUCAGUGUCUCAGGUACUCCUAUAUGUUAUGAAUUUCAUCAAAGGACAAAUCUAUGGUUACUUGUUUCUUCUUUAUAUACACAAUCUAUAACAAAGUUUCUGUCCUCUCAACUUAUGAGGAUAUGAUAAGCAUGAACAAUGUCAAAAUUUGGUGGGGGCUUGGAUCAUAUUUUAAACCAUGAACAAUGCAAAAAACUUUAGUAAUUGAGUUACAAUUUUGGAGGAAAUUUCUUGAACAUCCCUUGGGGCACUAUCAUUCUUGUUUAUCAUACGUUUGCAUCAAAUUGAGUGUUGAAGCAAUAUGAGUUCAAAAAUGUGCAUGCACAUUUACUGCCCCCUCUCCCCGAAAACGAGAAAAGGAGGAACGUAAACAGACUGUCAAGAGUUCAAAUCUAAUUUUUGUCCAAAUCCUUGUAGUAAAGUUGAUUGAUCUUUUCCAUGGUGAUCACUUUCCUUUAAAGUUCUUUGAAUGACCAACAUUUUCGUCCUUGUGAAUCUUAAAACUUACCCAUGAAGUUCCAUAUUGGAUAUUAAGCUUUUACAUUAACUAGGACUCGUGAAGUCUUAAAUCCAUAAAUAAGCAGAGGAAAUCUGCUUUUAUUCAUAAUUGCUUAAUAAAAUGAAAAUAAACUUCAAGCUAGUAGCUGAAAAUUAUCAGCACUCCUAUGCACCCCUACUCCCCAAUCACAGUGCUUAUUACAUCUGAAAGCUAUUGUAUGUCCUUGAAUCAAUAUUUUCACAGUCGAGCCUAGGCCCCUAUAAUACACAGACCAAUACCUAUGAAAAGAAACAAACUAUGGGCAAUAAAAAAUAAUUUGAAUUCUUCAUCUUCAGAGAAGAAUUGCAGCACAAAGAAGCUGGCUCCAAUUAUUAAGAAGUCCAGGACUGCGCCAAUGAUUGCCAUGUGCACCUGAUUGCUCGCUGUUUUCAGCCGAUGGUCUUCAAAUACCUCCACAAAUGUACAGUUAAUUUUCACUUUAUAAGUGGAAAGGAAGAUUAAAAGGAUAAAUUAUAUGAGGUUCUUCAUAGUUCAUCCUCAC